rnacentral:rRNA from 1 species
GUAGGGAAUCUUCCGCAAUGGACGAAAGUCUGACGGAGCAACGCCGCGUGAGCGAUGAAGGCCUUCGGGUCGUAAAGCUCUGUUGUCAGGGAAGAACAAGUACCGGAGUAACUGCCGGUACCUUGACGGUACCUGACCAGAAAGCCACGGCUAACUACGUGCCAGCAGCCGCGGUAAUACGUAGGUGGCAAGCGUUGUCCGGAAUUAUUGGGCGUAAAGCGCGCGCAGGCGGUUCCUUAAGUCUGAUGUGAAAGCCCCCGGCUCAACCGGGGAGGGUCAUUGGAAACUGGGGAACUUGAGUGCAGAAGAGGAGAGCGGAAUUCCACGUGUAGCGGUGAAAUGCGUAGAGAUGUGGAGGAACACCAGUGGCGAAGGCGGCUCUCUGGUCUGUAACUGACGCUGAGGCGCGAAAGCGUGGGGAGCGAACAGGAUUAGAUACCCGUGUAGUCC